GAACGAGGAAUAUCCUUCGGGAUAUAAGCCGAGUGGCGCAAGGGUGAGUAAUGCAUAGAUUACCUGCCUCCAGGAUAAGGACAACUUUGUGAAAACGAAGCUAAUACUUAAUAAUACAAAUGGAAAUAAUUUCUAUUUGUCAAUGGGAGGGUAGCAAUACCUUUUGCCUGGAGAGGGGUUUAUGUCCUAUCAGCUUGUUGGUGGGGUAAUGGCCUACCAAGGCGAAGACGGGUAGCCGGUCUUAGAGGAUGGUCGGCCACACUGGGACUGAGACACUGCCCAGACUUCUACGGAAGGCUGCAGUCGAGAAUCUUUCGCAAUGCCCGAAAGGGUGACGAAGCGACGCCGCGUGAGUGAGGAAGGCCUUCGGGUUGUAAAGCUCUGUCAGGAGUUAAGAAAUGUAAGUGUGUUAAUACCACAUUUAUUUGACGAAGGCUCCAAAGGAAGCCACGGCUAACUCUGUGCCAGCAGCCGCGGUAAUACAGAGGUGGCAAGCGUUGUUCGGAAUUAUUGGGCGUAAAGAGCACGUAGGUGGGUUUGUAAGUCAGAUGUGAAAGCCUUCUGUUCAACGGAAGAAUUGCAUCUGAAACUGCGAGUCUUGAGUGUAGGAGGGGAGAAUGGAACUUCUGGUGGAGCGGUGAAAUGCGUAGAUAUCAGAAGGAACGCCGGCGGCGAAAGCGAUUCUCUGGCCUAUUACUGACACUCAGUGUGCGAAAGCUAGGGGAGCAAACGGGAUUAGAUACCCCGGUAGUCCUAGCCGUAAACGAG
rnacentral:rRNA from 1 species